CACGUAGGGGGCGAGCGUUGUCCGGAUUUAUUGGGCGUAAAGAGCUCGUAGGCGGCUCAGUAAGUCGGGUGUGAAAGCCCAGAGCUCAACUCUGGAACUGCCUUCGAAACUAGAGGACUUGGGUACGGGAGAGGUGAGUGGAAUUCCGAGUGUAGAGGUGAAAUUCGUAGAUAUUCGGAAGAACACCAGUGGCGAAGGCGGCUCACUGGCCCGUUACCGACGCUCAGGCGCGACAGCGUGGGGAGCAAACAGG
rnacentral:rRNA from 1 species